UUAGAUGUUGCCUUCAUGGGGGCAACCAGCGGUGGCGGCGGAGCCAUCUUCAGAUCGAUUGAAUUGGUCAGAGAUUUAAGAGAUCACCACACACACAAUGGAUCUGCCGGCCGCACCAACAUUCCAGACGCUAGAUGCUAGACGCUGGACGGCUUACACGAGGAUCUCCGGCGGUUGAUCUCUGCAUGUGUGUAACUGUAAUUUGGUUUGAUUCGAAACAGACUGUGGAGAGUGAACAGGAGAAGCUAGCACAGCAAAGGGGAGAGAAAAGUGAUACAAAUAAAACCAGCAUACUAUUUAUAGCAAAUGAUAACAAAUUCAACGCUUUCUUUGCUUGGGAGUUGCGGAAGUGCCUGCUGAUUCCUCCUUCCCCUCCCACAUGUGGUUAACGUUAGUUUGAAAAAAUAAUUUCAACCUGAAUUUGUUU